AUAUGCAUCGAAUAUUUUCAUAUUAAAAUGUAAAUGUAAACAAAAUACGAAAAUAUGAGAAUAUAUAAAAAAUGUGUUCGCUGUGAGAGCAAACAACGUGAAACAAAAACAUCAAAAGUCAGACAGUACGACAGUCAGGCAGUCAAGCAGUCGGGCUGGGAGAUAAAAAUCAGAGUCGGAAUAAUCACUGGGGAGCUGGUCCAUCGGAGGGGAAGAGUGUGCUUAGGGAGUCGGCUUAUCGGUCUGGCAUCGCUUGCACAGAAGGGUUCCCAACAAGGAAGAAGAAGAUGCUGCUGAUGAAGCAUCAGUUGAAUAUGAUGAUUAUAAAGCUGGAGGCUCGACUUUUGGGGCGUAAUCAAUUAGGCGGCUCUAAAGGUAAACACGCGGACUCCACGCUGACAGCCCGAGCGAGGCUGAGGGCGCAGAUGUGUGGAAGGCCUGCGAAGUGUUAUCGAUAAUCUCUCGCUGAUUAAUGUCGAUUAUUAUUUGGGCUCUUUGGGACUGGGCGGCAGCUUCGAAAUCUGCGCUGCUUUGCUGUGGAAACUUUCAUUUGUUUACGGCUGCCCAUUUGAUAAAUGAUGCAAUUAUAGAAAAGCGUUUACCCUUUCGGACAUGCUCGAGAGUGGAUCGUGCGUUAAUAUAGAAAGUCAUUAACCAGGGUUGUCUUUUAAUGAUAGUCUCUCUGCAUUUUAAAUGCCUGACUGCACUCGAACAGUAGCCCAAAAAAUGAUAAAUGGGAAUUUAAAAUCUUGAUUCGAUAUGAGAAUCUACGGCAGGAUUCAAGCACUUGUUAUCUAUCUGCAGCAGCAGUCAAGUCACUCGACAACAUAAUAGCUCAGCUUCGCCGAGGCACUGCUGUCAGCCAUCAACGCAGCAAAGUGUUGACAAAAGCAGCCGACAACAUCAGACGUCAGCAGCUGUGGUUCAGAUCCAGAUGCAGAGGCAGCCACCAGCCACCAGCCACAGCUAACAGCCAACAGAUGACUUAGACAGUUCUCCCAGUUUACCUACUGUCCGUUCAUCGCGCUAGCAACAAAUCCAAGGUAUUUGCAACGGAAAUAAACUGCGCACAUUGCACAAA